rnacentral:tRNA from 1 species
UUCCAAUUUGACAGAACUAAAUGUGAUAAAUUUAGAAUUUAUUUAUGAAAAUUUUCAAUUGGAAG